GAGAUUCUUGAAGGGAAUUCUGGUUGUUUUCACUUUGCUAAUAGUCCAUUAACAUCAGCUUAUUGAUUUGAGGAUACUUUAGUUCCUUGAAAGAAAUCACUUGGAGCCAAAAAACAUGGCUUCUACUCCUGGUUUGCUGUAUCCAGUCCUGAGGCCCUGGGCAAGACAAAAACAGAAGGAGAUUUGAGACAGGAGAAGACACAGAGAAAAGGAGAAGGCAAUGUGACCACAGAGACAAAUAGUGGAGUAACAGCCACAAGCCAAGGAUGGCUGAAAUCCCCAAAGCUGGAAGAGCUGGCGUCCCAAACCCUGAAAGGAUCGGCAAUCAAGUCAGUUUGGAGUGAAAGCAGAUGUGAGCUGGGAAGCCUUUUUUCUCUUAGGACCGAUGGCCUGGAAAAGCCCAGGCUGAAUGAUUGAUUGCUUGUUUUUCCCUGAGCCCCACCCUGAGUCCCACUUGGCUUAAUUAAAUAUAUCCUCAAGGAGUCCCUGAAAUGCUUUAGGACUACUGGAUGAUUGCUGGUAUUCCUGUUCCUUAUUAUAUAAGGUAGUGUGUAUUGCAAUCACUUGGGAAGAUAUCCAUUAUACACACAUCUGCCUCCAAACCCCAAUCCAGGAUUCAGAUUUCCAGGAAAGAAGUUUGAUCCCGUGUAUUUCGAAAAAGUAUCUAAAGUGAUUUUGAUAAACACUCCUAGGUAGACAACACUGAGACGAAAUGAACUACCAUAUAUUUUAUUUACCACUUCAAAUUAUACACAGCUAUGUUGCUUAACAUACUGCAUUUUAUUAAUCCUUUAAAAAGAAUCAAACCUUUUUUAUUUUAAUUGCAUGUUUGUUGGUGGGGGGGCUUUGUUUUAUCAAAUGCUAUUUGGGGAUUUGUUUCUUUUCUUUAUUUCAACAAUUUAUGCUUUUAUCUUUAUUGAUUUUCCGUUUUCCAUUCUUUGGGUUUAUUUUGUUGUUCUUUGAAUUUUUUGAAGUGCGUUUAAUUUUAGUUUUUCUUCUCUCUCGCACACAUAUUUUUUUAAAUGAAUGUA
rnacentral:lncRNA from 1 species